UACGCUCUACACCCUUUGUGAACAUACCUACAACUGUUGCUUCGGCGGGUAGGGUCUCCGCGACCCUCCCGGCCUCCCGCCUCCGGGCGGGUCGGCGCCCGCCGGAGGAUAACCAAACUCUGAUUUAACGACGUUUCUUCUGAGUGGUACAAGCAAAUAAUCAAAACUUUUAACAACGGAUCUCUUGGUUCUGGCAUCGAUGAAGAACGCAGCGAAAUGCGAUAAGUAAUGUGAAUUGCAGAAUUCAGUGAAUCAUCGAAUCUUUGAACGCACAUUGCGCCCGCCAGCAUUCUGGCGGGCAUGCCUGUUCGAGCGUCAUUUCAACCCUCAAGCUCUGCUUGGUGUUGGGGCCCUACAGCCGAUGUAGGCCCUCAAAGGUAGUGGCGGACCCUCCCGGAGCCUCCUUUGCGUAGUAACUUUACGUCUCGCACUGGGAUCCGGAGGGACUCUUGCCGUAAAACCCCCCAAUUUUCCAAAGGUUGACCUCGGAUCAGGUAGGAAUACCCGCUGAACUUAAGCAUAUCAAUAAGCGGAGGAA
rnacentral:rRNA from 1 species